rnacentral:rRNA from 1 species
AACGAACGCUGGCGGCAGGCCUAACACAUGCAAGUCGAACGCCCUGGCAACAGGGAGUGGCAGACGGGUGAGUAACGCGUGGGAACGUGCCCUUCGGUUCGGAAUAACUCAGGGAAACUUGAGCUAAUACCGGAUACGUGCGCGAGCAGAAAGAUUUAUCGCCGAAGGAUCGGCCCGCGUCCGAUUAGCUAGUUGGUGAGGUAACGGCUCACCAAGGCGACGAUCGGUAGCUGGUCUGAGAGGAUGAUCAGCCACACUGGGACUGGGACACGGCCCAGACUCCUACGGGAGGCAGCAGUGGGGAAUAUUGGACAAUGGGCGCAAGCCUGAUCCAGCCAUGCCGCGUGAGUGAUGAAGGCCCUAGGGUUGUAAAGCUCUUUCGCCAGGGACGAUAAUGACGGUACCUGGAUAAGAAGCCCCGGCUAACUUCGUGCCAGCCGCCGCGGUAA